AAGAAAGAGAGAGACAGUUUAUUGGUUAGUACCUGAGGCUGCUAAAAUCUGUUGAAUUGGUGAUAUCAGUGAGAGGUACGUGGAAAGCUUCAGACCAAGAAAGUUGUUGAAGACAUGUAGCAGAAGGAGUUCCCCACCGGUGAUGGUUUCAAUGACCGUGGAGACAAAGAAGAUGCCUGUCCUUCACGUCGGAAGGAGGACGAUGAGGGAGCAGGAAAUUAAACCUUGUGCAAUAAGCAGCGACAAACAGGGACCCAUUUAAUUUGCAUAAAUCAAAAUUAAAUUAGGCAUGUUUUUUAAAUUGAUCGUGAUUAAUUCAAGCAUAUGAUAUAAUUGAUUUACAUUGUUUUUUCAAAACAACUCAUGUGUAUAAAACAUGCUUUAUUGAUGAUCUUGAAGUACCUAUUUCAAUU